UCCUGGAGUGGUGAUGUUGUAGCCACGUGUCCUGGGAAACAAACCCACUCAGAAGGACAAUGCAGAUAGUGGAGUGCAGUUUAUUACACCGGCGGGCCCAAGGCAGAGUCUCCUCUUAGCCAAGGGCCCCGACCAGUUUUUGUGAAAACCUUAUAUAC